rnacentral:ncRNA from 1 species
AAUAUAAUUAAUAUAUAACCUUAUAAUUAAGUAUAGUCGACUCAAAAAUGGUAUGGACAAGGGGAAUCUGACUGUUUAAUUAAAACAAAGCAUUGCAAUGGUCCCUGUGAAUGCUGACCCAAUGUGAUUUAUGGCCAGUGCUCUGCAUGUCAAAGUGAAGAAAUUCAACCAAGCAUGGGUAAACGGUGGGAGUAACUAUGUCUCUCUUAUGGUAUCCAUAUGCCUCGUCAUCUAAUUAGUGAUGCACAUGAAUGGAUUAACAAGAUUCACAUUGUCCCUAUGUACUAAUGG